GUGCUCACUUUGGCGGCACAUAUACUAAAAUUGGAAUAAUAUAGAGAACAUUAGUAUGGCCCCUGUGCGAGGAUGACAUGCAAAUUCAUGAAGCGUUCCAUAUUUUU
rnacentral:snRNA from 1 species